CUCUCUGCUGCAGCUCACACAGCUGCUCACACGUGUGUCUGCUGUGUGGUGUUCAGAGCGUUGUUUACUCUCUGAACUCUCGCCCUUUGGGUCUUGGUUUGGGUUGAAGAUAUUAAGUUUUCUUGACAUACCUGGGACCUUGAGAUGCUCUUUCUGCUCAGCAGCUCAACUGACUCUGAAAAUAACACAUGAAGAGGAAUUGAGACACCUGACCCAUGGUCCUGGCUAACUUCCUAAUUGGCAUCUUUGAACGGAAGUACAAUCGUGGCUACUGUAUCUGAGCAUCGUGAAGUUAAAAGCUUGCCCUUGUCAAGGAUGCUGACAAGAGUUAAAAAAAAGACCAUCCUUUGAAUGUCACAAAA
rnacentral:lncRNA from 1 species